GCCCGGGUGGCGGAAUUGGUAGACGCGUUGGUCUCAAACACCAAUGAGUUCACGCUCGUGUGGGUUCGAUUCCCACCUCGGGUA
rnacentral:tRNA from 1 species